rnacentral:rRNA from 1 species
UACAGAGGAUGCGAGCGUUAUCCGGAUUUAUUGGGUUUAAAGGGUGCGUAGGCGGGAUGCCAAGUCAGCGGUAAAAAUGCGGUGCUCAACGCCGUCGAGCCGUUGAAACUGGCGUUCUUGAGUGGGCGAGAAGUAUGCGGAAUGCGUGGUGUAGCGGUGAAAUGCAUAGAUAUCACGCAGAACUCCGAUUGCGAAGGCAGCGUACCGGCGCCCAACUGACGCUGAAGCACGAAGGCGUGGGUAUCGAACAGG